UCAGCAUAUCCAAGCAGUUGCCAGGAUUUACUUUCAGUUUUGUUCUCGUGGAGCUCCACUCCUCCCCGCAGCAACGCUGACCUUUAGCAGCUAGUGCUGGCUGGAUUUGUCUUUAUCUCAAUCUUGGAGACAGGGCCUUCUCUAUGCCCCCCUCCCCCCUAAAAAUGUUACCGAGGGUUCUCAAAAAGAUCAGAGAGGAAGAGGCCACUGUAAUAGUUAUAGCCCCAUUCUGGCUGAGAAGAGUUUGGUUCUCUUCGCUCCGCAUGAUGUCGAUAGCAACUUUGUGGGUGCUUCCGGAGUCUCGGGAGCUUCUGUCUCAAGGUCCAGUCUUUCACCUAGGAGUAAAAAAAUCUACAUCUGACUGCUUGGCUCUUGAGAGGGAGAUUCUAAAAAGAAGAGGUCUUUGUGAAGAGGUAGUUAACACUCUGUUUGCCAGUCGGAAGAGGGUUACUUCUGAGAUCUACCUUAGAGUUUGGAGGGCCUUUUUUAGAUUCGCCAAUAGACCAGUGGAUGUGCUAGAGGUUCCUGACAUUCUGCUAGUGCUAGAAUUCUUGCAGGAAGGUUAGAAAAAAAAACUCAAUGCCGAUAUCUGGACUUUUAAAGAACUAGGCCUAAGUGCCUUGUUUGAGUUUAGAUUAGCAGUCCAUCCCUGGAUCAAGAGGUUUGGUACAGUUGUGUCCAAGUUAUCUCCUGUCUCUAAGGUCAAAACCCCUGUUUUUGGGAUUUAAACUUAGUCCUCUCUGCGCUUUCUUCUGACCCCUUUGAGUUGAUUGAUGGUAUUUCCCCUAAGAUGCUCUCCCUAAAGCUUGCUUUCUUGCUUGCCAUUACCUCGGCUAGAAGGGUUAGUGAGAUCAGUGUACUCUCUGCUGAUUCCUCCCCCCCCCCCCCCAUUUGGUUAUCUUGGAGGAUCGGGUAGUUAUUUCUCCUGAUCCUUCUUUUUUACCAAAAGUAUCUUCUCAUUUUCACCGCUCUCAGGAGAUAGUGCUACCUUCCUUCUGUGCCUCCCCUAAGAAUGAGAAGGAAUCGGAGUUCCACUGCCUAGACGUUAGAAGGUGUAUUUUACUGUAUCUGAAGAUCACUCAGCCUUGGAGGGCCUCCUCUCGUCUGCUGCUUUUGUUUCAGGGAGCUCAGAAGGGUUCUGCUGCCUCUUCUCAGACCAUUGCUAGGUGGAUCAGACAUGCCAUUGCCUUAGCUUAUUCUUCUAAGGGACUAGUUCCGCCCUUGGGGUUUGAGGCUCACUGUACAAGAUCAGUCUCCACAUCAUGGGCAGAGAGAGCUUCAGCUUCAAUUGAGCAGAUCUGUAGAGCAGCUACCUGGAGCUCUCCAAAUACUUUUUUAGGCACUAUAGACUGCAGCUACCUUCUAAUGAGGGUCUUUCCUUUGGCUGUAAGGUGCUGCAGGCUGUAGUCCCUCCCUAGAUAGGAUUCUUGCCUAUUCUCCUGGGGUGCUGUCAUAGGCGAAAGAGAAAUAUUGGAUUACACUUACCGAUGACAGCAUCCGGUUAAUUUUCCCCUCCCCCUGAAAAAAGAGGGUCGGAGUAUUUACCGGAAUUAUUAUUUUUUUUUUAAAUAUAGAAAAAAUUGCUCUCCUCUUCCGCAUUUCAGCACUCAGUAUUGUAUUCAGUCUGUGUGUUAUCUCCUAUAGGUUCUGACUCCAGGAGGAGAAGUCCCCCCGAGAGAUGUCCCCGUCCUCUGUAUUCCCAGGACUGUCCAGGGGAGAAGCUCCCAGAGAACCAUCAGGAUGAAAAUCUGAUGGAUAUUAAGGCUGAGGUUAAAGAUGAAGAAGAAGAGGAGACGGAUUUAUGGGGCAAUCAGCAGGAUGGACUCAUAGAAGGAAGUCCCCCCG